AGUGAACGCUGGCGGUAGGCCUAACACAUGCAAGUCGAACGGCAGCACAGUAAGAGCUUGCUCUUACGGGUGGCGAGUGGCGGACGGGUGAGGAAUACAUCGGAAUCUACUUUUUCGUGGGGGAUAACGUAGGGAAACUUACGCUAAUACCGCAUACGACCUACGGGUGAAAGCAGGGGAUCUUCGGACCUUGCGCGAUUGAAUGAGCCGAUGUCGGAUUAGCUAGUUGGCGGGGUAAAGGCCCACCAAGGCGACGAUCCGUAGCUGGUCUGAGAGGAUGAUCAGCCACACGGGAACUGAGACACGGUCCAGACUCCUACGGGAGGCAGCAGUGGGGAAUAUUGGACAAUGGGCGCAAGCCUGAUCCAGCCAUACCGCGUGGGUGAGGAAGGCCUUCGGGUUGUAAAGCCCUUUUGUUGGGAAAGAAAAGCAGCAGGUUAAUACCCCGCUGUUCUGACGGUACCCAAAGAAUAAGCACCGGCUAACUUCGU
rnacentral:rRNA from 1 species